rnacentral:rRNA from 1 species
UCACACCGGUUUAAACUCAGAUCAUGUAAAAUUUUAAGGGUCGAACAGACCCAAAAUUUCAGCCACUACACCAAAAUUAAAUUUUAAUCCAACAUCGAGGUCGCAAUCCUUAAAUUCGAUAAGAACUCUAAAAAAGAUUACGCUGUUAUCCCUAAGGUAAUUUAAUCUUUUAAUCUUAACACAAGGAUCAAAAACUCAUAAAUUAAUGUUAAAAUAAAAAAAAAGUUAAGUAAAUUUUUCCAUCACCCCAACCAAAUACAUCUUACAACACCUAAAUUCUAAAUAAAAUUUUAAGUAAAACUAAAUAUAUAAAACUCUAUAGGGUCUUCUCGUCUUCUACAUCCAUUUAAGCUUUUUCACUUAAAAAUAAAGUUCUAUAAAAAUCUAACAGAGACAGUCUUUUUUUCAUUAAACCAUUCAUACAAGCUUUCAAUUAAAAAACUAAUGAUUAUGCUACCUUUGUACGGUCAAUAUACCGCAGCCAUUCAACCACUCAUUGGGCAGGUCCGACUUGAAAUUAUAAUCAA